CAAGCUCCUUGAAUCCUCCUUGUGUUUUCCUCCCUUUAGUGCUCCUUUGAUGAUUUGAGGAAAAAUGAUUUGUUCUCCAAAACACCAAAAGCUUGAUGUCUCUAAGUCUCUUCACCAAGGUUGUAUCUUGUGAAGAUGAUAUGGAUGACUAAGGAAAGAAGAGUUGCUAGAUGUCCCUCCCCUUAGUGGCCGGCCUCCUUAGAAGAAAAUGGAGAAAAUAUUUCACCCAAUUUCAACAAGAAGAACCCUAAUUAGAAAAUAGCUAUAAAGUUGUAUUUAUAACCUUUU
rnacentral:lncRNA from 1 species